CACAUACACACAAACCAUAUUAAAAUAUAUUUAAAUUUAGUUGCGCAUCAUCUCUAAUAUAAAAAGGUUGUAAUAAAAGGUACUGGUAUAUAUCCUCUUAUAAGCUUACCAACACGUAGUUAUCGACACGUACACACAUACACGCAUAUACACACGUUGUUCACAUACACACCCACAAACAAAAUGAUUAAACAAAAAAGGUCUUAUCCAAACCUCGAACACGAAGAAAACAGCAGUAAUGUCGGUGACAAUGAUAAUAUGCUUAAAAGGCAACGCAAUAAUAGUGUUCAUAGUAAUACUUCUUAUGUAUCUGUGAAUGCUGAAGGUAUGAAUGUUGAAGUUAUAGAUGAAAACACAAAAUCAAACUACACUAAUAACAGUAAUAUUGAACUUUUAAUUCCAUACUGUAUUCUUUUGCCUAAUAAAGCUAUUGGUUUUGUGAUAGGUAAAUCAGGUAAUAAUGUUCGUGAAAUUGAAAAAGCAUGUGGUUCUAUUAUUAAAUGUCAAAAGGAAUUUGAUAUUACUGUUUAUCCACCGCCUUCUGAAAAGAUAUUAACGAUAUUUGGUAAAAAAGAAAAUAAAAAAAAGGCACUAGAUUUAGUUUUAACAAAAUCUAAAACAGUAAUGGAUUUUCAAGAAGAAGAUGGAAAAGAAUCUAUAGUAAUAAUAGUACCUACUAGGUCUAUUCCUAUUAUUAUUGGACAUAAAGGAUCAAAAAUUACAACAUUGUCUGAACAGUCAGGUUGUGAUAUUAAUGUUCAUAAAGAUGAUGUUCCAGGUAUAAAAGACAAAGCUAUUUUUAUCAAAUCGAAAAAAAUUAGUAAAAUUAUAGAUUGUAUUGCUAUUAUUUAUGAUUUAUUAGAAGAUACGGUAGAACAUGGAUUAUUACAGUUAGAUGAAUUUCCAGGAGUAGCAAAAGGUCAUAAUGUCCAUUCUGUAGGUGGUUCUGUUUCUGUUUCUGUUUCUGGGUCAGGUUCUGUUUCUGGUUCAUGUGUUGGUUCAGUUACAGGUUUAGGUCCUGGUGUAGGUUCUGGAUCAGUUCCUAGUUUAGAUCUCGGUUCACUUUCUGGUAGUAAUACUAAUACAUAUGGUACUAAUAGUAACAAUACAUCUAUUUUGAAUAACAUGUCAAACGAUUUUAUCAACAAAAAUGGACACAUUAAUAACAAUGCCAGUAAUAGUGUAGGUGGAAAAGGUUACUUCAAUAACGAUAUGGGAAAUGCAAGUUAUAUGCGAAAUAGUUCAACUGGUAGUCCCCCCUUUGGAAAAAGUAAAAUUAAUAAUAUGAACAACAUGAACAACAUAAACAACAUGAACAACAUGAACAACAUGAACAACGCAAAUAAUAAUGCCAACUUGAAUAACGCAAAUAAUAAUGCCAACUUUAAAACGCAAAAAAAAACAGACCAUCAUCAUAGCAAUUAUGACUCUUUUACAAUCGAAGCUUACGAUAAUUUUAAUGUGCCGAAAGAAAAAAAUUUAUUAUUGCAUAAGAUUGGAAAAGAAGUAAGUUCAAGUGUAAUUAGAUUUGUGUUAGAUGUAGAAACUACUGCAUGGAUAAUUGGAAAAUCAGGUUGUCACAUAAAAGAAAUUAGAAAUAUAACAGGAGCAGGAGCAGUAAUAGUAGAUGCACCAAAUAAUAUAGAAAAUGUACAAAUGUGUGAUCGAAUAUUAACAAUAUCUGGUUCUCCUGAAAAUAAAUAUGAUGCAUUAAAAUUAAUUGUUAGACAAAUGGAAGAGAGGGAAAAAAAUAUAAACAAUCCUAUGCGUAUGUUAGUCCCAGGUAAGGCGGCUAGCUUUUUAAUUGGAAAAAAAGGUUCAAUUAUAAAAUAUAUAACAGACCAAUCAGGUUCACAAAUACAGGUAGCUAAAAAUAAGGAAAGUGAAAAUGAAAAAUUAGUUUUAAUUAGUGGCACACCAGAAUCGAAAAUAUUAGCUGCAGUAUUAGUUUUGCAGAAACUUGAAGAAUAUGAAAACCCAACUAUUGCAAGAGAAGGCUUACUUAUACCAUUAAACGAUAUAUUACAUAGUAAUACAAAUAAUAACAAACAGAUUAUGCCUCAAAAAAAAAAUAACAACAACACGAAUAAACCAUUGCAUAACAAUAAUAAUAGGAACAUGAAUAAUAGUAAUAGUAAUAGUAAUAGUAAUAGUAAUAAUAAUAAUAAUAAUAAUAGAUAUUUUUCUACUAACUCGGGAGGUAUACCAAAUCAUAAUAAUAGUCACACUAGUCACACUAUGAAUAAUAAUAGUAAUAAUAAUAGCGGAGGUUUACAUGAAAAUAACAACAGCAAUAACAACCAACACCAUUAUACAAAUAACAAUCAUAACAGAAAUAGUAGCAACAAUUUUUCCUUUACAGAUAAUAAAAAAAAUGAAAAUAUUAAUUUUUCAAAUUAUCACAACGAACUUAGUACCAACCCUAAUACCAAUAGACACAAAAAUAACAAUAGUAUAAAUCAUAUGAACUUAAAUAACACAAAUGUUAAUAAUAACAAUAUCCACCACCACCAACAACAGCAACAAAAAUAUUAUAAAAAUAACAUGGUUCAUAAUAAUAGUAUUGUUAAUAGUAGUAACAGUAAUGGUAUUAUAAAUAAUAACAACAUCAAUACUAAUCCUCUGAACGUAACUAACGAUAUGAAAGAAAAAUUUGAAAAACUCUUUUUAAAUCAAAUAUACAAAUCUUUCCAUCCUUCUUCUUUACCUAAAAUUCUAUCAGCUACUCAACCAUAUACUAUUGAAUUAAAUAUGCCUGAUGUUUAUUUAGAAACCUUUGAUAGUCAAAAUGAAAAUGGGAAGCCACUAAUAGAGGAAAUUAUUGAAAAAUCUGGUUGUAAUAUAUCUAUA
ensembl:lncRNA